CAGACUCUUGUUCCAUAGUGGAUGUGUGUGCCCUGGUGUAUGUGUGUGUGUCGUUCCUGUGUUAUGGUGGAUGUGUGUGUGUUGUUCCUCUGCUAUGGUGGAUGUGUGUGUGUUGUUCCUGUGCUAUGGUGGAUGUGUGUGUUGUUCCUGUGCUAUGGUGGAUGUGUGUGUGUUGUUCCUGUGCCAUGGUGGAUGUGUGUGUGUUGUUCCUGUUCUAUGGUGGAUGUGUGUGUGUUGUUCCUGUGCUCUGGUGGAUGUGUGUGUGUUGUUCCUGUGGUGGAUGUGUGUGUGUGUUGUUCCUAUGGUGGAUGUGUGUGCUAUGGUGGAUGUGUGUGUGUCGUUCCUGUGCUAUGGUGGAUGUGUGUGUGUUGUUACUGUGCUAUGGUGGAUGUGUGUGUGUUGUUCCUAUGGUGUAUGUGUGUGUGUUGUUCCUGUGCUAUGGUGGAUGUGUGUGUGUUGUUCCUGUGCUAUGGUGGAUGUGUGUGUGUGUGUUGUUCCUGUGCUAUGGUGGAUGUGUGUGUGUUGUUCCUAUGGUGGAUGUGUGUGUGUGUGUUGUUCCUGUGCUAUGGUGGAUGUGUGUGUGUUGUUCCUGUGCUAUGGUGGAUGUGUGUGUGUUGGUCCUAUGGUGGAUGUGUGUGUGUUGUUCCCGUGCUAUGGUGGAUGUGUGUGUGUUGUUCCUAUGGUGGAUGUGUGUGUGUUGUUCCUAUGGUGUAUGUGUGUGUGUUGUUCCUGUGCUAUGGUGGAUGUGUGUGUGUUUUUUCUGUGCUACGGUGGAUGUGUGUGUGUGUGUUGCCCCUGUGCUAUGGUGGAUGUGUGUGUGUUGUUCCUAUGGUGUAUGUGUGUGUGUUGUUCCUAUGGUGUAUGUGUGUGUGUUGUUCCUGUGCCAUAGUGGAUGUGUGUGUGUUGUUCCUGUGCUAUGGUGGAUGUGUGUGCUAUGGUGGAUGUGUGUGUGUUGUUCCUGUGGUGGAUGUGUGUGUGUUGUUCCUGUGCCAUAGUGGAUGUGUGUGGGUCGUUCCUGUGCUAUGGUGGAUGUGUGUGCUAUGGUGUAUGUGGGUGUGUUGUUCCUAUGGUGGAUGUGUGUGUGUCGUUCCUGUCCUAUGGUGGAUGUGUGUGUGUUGUUCCUAUGGUGUAUGUGUGUGUGUUGUUCCUAUGGUGUAUGUGUGUGUGUUGUUCCUGUGCCAUAGUGGAUGUGUGUGUGUUGUUCCUGUGCUAUGGUGGAUGUGUGUGCUAUGGUGGAUGUGUGUGUGUUGUUCCUGUGGUGGAUGUGUGUGUGUUGUUCCUGUGCCAUAGUGGAUGUGUGUGUGUCGUUCCUGUGCUAUGGUGGAUGUGUGUGCUAUGGUGUAUGUGGGUGUGUUGUUCCUAUGGUGGAUGUGUGUGUGUUGUUCCUGUGCUCUGGUGGAUGUGUGUGUGUUGUUCCUGUGCCAUGGUGGAUGUGUGUGUGUUGUUCCUGUGCUAUGGUGGAUGUGUGUGUG
rnacentral:lncRNA from 1 species